rnacentral:rRNA from 1 species
UGAGGAAUAUUGGUCAAUGGGCGCGAGCCUGAACCAGCCAAGUCGCGUGAGGGAGGACGGCCCUACGGGUCGUAAACCUCUUUGCCGGGGAGCAACGGGCGUCACGUGUGGCGCCACUGAGAGUACCCGGAGAAAAAGCAUCGGCUAACUCCGUGCC